UGACAUACAUAAGGAAGCCAUGAAAAAA
rnacentral:sRNA from 1 species